UAACUACUCCCUCCGUCCAAAAAUACUUGUCAUCAAAAUGGACAAAAAAAGGAUGUAUCUAAAAUUGAAAUACAUCUAGAUACAUCCCCUUUUAUUCAUUGUGAUGACAAGUAUUUUCGGACGGAUGGAGUAUAUC
rfam:Triticum aestivum genome assembly, contig: Triticum_aestivum_CS42_TGACv1_scaffold_499432_6BL